rnacentral:pre_miRNA from 1 species
CAAAUACUCCCUUCGUCCGGAAAUACUUGUCAUCAAAAUGGAUAAAAGGAAAUGUAUCUAGACGUAUUUUAGUUUUAGAUACAUCUCUUUUUAUCCAUUUUGAUGAUAAGUAUUUUCGGACGGAGGGAGUAGAAA